UACAGAGGUGGCAAGCGUUGUUCGGAAUUACUGGGCGUAAAGGGCGCGUAGGCGGCCAUCUAAGUCAGACGUGAAAUCCCCCGGCUCAACCUGGGAACUGCGUCUGAUACUGGGAGGCUAGAGUUUGGGAGAGGGAUGUAGAAUUCCAGGUGUAGCGGUGAAAUGCGUAGAUAUCGGGAAGAACACCCGUGGCGAAGGCGGCUCUCUGGAACGCAACUGACGCUGAGACGCGAAAGCGUGGGGAGCAAACAGG
rnacentral:rRNA from 1 species